UACGUAGGUGGCAAGCGUUGUCCGGAUUUACCGGGCGUAAAGAGCGCGCAGGCGGUCGAAUAAGUCGAAUGUGAAAGCCCCCGGCUUAACUGGGGAGGGUCAUUCGAUACUGCUCGACUUGAAGGCAGGAGAGGGUAGUGGAAUUCCCGGUGUAGUGGUGAAAUGCGUAGAUAUCGGGAGGAACACCAGUGGCGAAGGCGACUACCUGGCCUGUUCUUGACGCUGAGGCGCGAAAGCUGGGGGAGCAAACGGG
rnacentral:rRNA from 1 species